rnacentral:ncRNA from 2 species
UAAAAUUUGCGGGGGGACUACAAAGUAGUUGAGAAGGUAAAACCUGACCCUUUGAACCUGUUGGUUAAUACCAGCGUAGGGAAGCAAAUUAUAUACUACU